AGUGAACGCUGGCGGUAGGCCUAACACAUGCAAGUCGAACGGCAGCACAGUAAGAGCUUGCUCUUACGGGUGGCGAGUGGCGGACGGGUUAGGAAUACAUCGGAAUCUACUUUUUCGUGGGGGAUAACGUAGGGAAACUUACGCUAAUACCGCAUACGACCUACGGGUGAAAGCAGGGGAUCUUCGGACCUUGCGCGAUUGAAUGAGCCGAUGUCGAAUUAGCUAGUUGGCGGGGUAAAGGCCCACCAAGGCGACGAUCCGUAGCUGGUCUGAGAGGAUGAUCAGCCACAGUGGAACUGAGACACGGUCCAGACUACUACGGGAGGCAGCAGUGGGGAAUAUUGGACAAUGGGCGCAAGCCUGAUCCAGCCAUACCGCGUGGGUGAAGAAGGACUUCGGGUUGUAAAGCCCUUUUGUUGGGAAAGAAAAGCAGCAGGUUAAUACCCCGCUGUUCUGACGGUACCCAAAGAAUAAGCACAGGCUAACUUCGUG
rnacentral:rRNA from 1 species